AUGGCGGUUUCGUACCAUCUCCUCCUCCUCCCGGCCGUCCUUCUCCUCCUCGUCCUCCCGCUCGCCUCCUCCUCCUCCGCCGCCGGCGACCACGCGGCCCUCCUCGCGCUCAAGGGCGCCGUCACCGGCGACCCCGCCUCCGUCCUCUCCGCCUGGUCCUCCUCCGACCCCGACCACUGCCAUUGGCGCGGGGUCACCUGCCACCCCGCCUCCUCGGCCGUCGCCGCCAUCGACCUCCCCGCGGCCUCGCUCUCCGGCGCCCUCCCCGCGCUCCUCCCCCCGCGCCUCCUCCGCCUCGACCUCUCCGGCAACAACUUCUCCGGCCCCAUCCCCGCCGCCUUCCUCGCGUCCCCGACCCUCCGCGCCCUCAAUCUCACCUCCAACCGCCUCUCGGGGCCCAUACCCUUCCCGCCCUCCUCCAACUCCUCCUCCUCCUCGCCGCCCUGCCCCGCCCUCGCCCACCUCCGCCUCGCCGGCAACUUCCUCGUCGGCGAAAUCCCCUCCGCGGUGGCCCAAUGCCGCAGCCUCCGCGUCAUCGACGUCUCCCGCAACGUCCUCGAGGGCGCCGUCCCGCGCGCCCUCGGCCGCCUCGCCGCCCUCCGCGUCCUCGACGUCUCCCGCAACAGCCUCACCGACAGGAUCCCCCCGGAGCUCGGCAACUGCCGGGACCUCGCCGUGCUCGUGCUCACCAACCUCACUUCGUCGCCUGGGGACCAGCCGGAGUUCAACGCCUUCCUCGGCGGGCUGCCUCCGGAGGUGGUCACCAACCCAGCGCUGGAGAUUCUCUGGGCACCAAGGGCCAACUUCGACGGCCGGCUGCCGAGGUACAGGAACGGUUCCUGCCGCCUCCGGGCGGUCAACCUUGGGCAGAACUAUAUUGGUGGUCCAGUGCCGAAAUGGCUUGGGGAGUGUGGGGACUUGGCAUUUCUUGAUCUGAGCUCCAACAGCUUGGAGGGUUCCAUGCCUGCUGAGUUGAGGAUAGGAUGCAUGAGAUACCUCAAUGUCAGCCAGAACUUACUGUCAGGGCCGCUCCUUUCGCCAGUGGAGGGCAAAUGCUCAAGCCCUUUGAUCGAUGAUGAUGAUGUAAUUCAGUACUAUGAGGGAUUGGUUGGGAUUGCGUUGAUCAGUAACCCUUUUGGGUCUGUGCUUGGGGACAUUGGCAAUGCCGCUCUCCAUGAUUUCAGUAACAAUGGCUUUAGCGGGGUGUUGCCAUCUCUUAACUUGCAUCUGGUUGGAAAUUACUCUUAUGGCUUGCUGCUCAACGGCAAUAUGUUCAACAGCACGCUUUCUGGUGGGUUUUUCAGAUUUUGCAAGGCCGCAAGUGGGGUAGCAGUCAAUUUGAGUGGCAAUCAGUUGUCAGGCAGUCUUGAUAUGCUGUCAAGCUGUACAUCUCUUCAAAGUUUCGAGGCUGGCUACAACAAGUUCAAUGGGUCAAUAUCUCCUGGAAUUGGUGACCUGCAUUUGCUGCGUGUCCUGGUCUUGAGGGCAAACAAUUUAUCAGGCGAGAUCCCUGUGCGGUUUGGUGAUUUGGCUGCUCUGGAGGUUCUGGAUUUAUCAAAAAAUUCUGUGGCAGGUAUCCUGCCGUCACAUUUAGCUGAUGCAUCGCGCCUUAAAGUAGUGAUGCUGGACCACAACAGGCUCUCAGGAAGCAUCCCUCCCAGUUUCAGUGAACUGGCUCAACUGUCGGUUUUUGAUGUCUCGUUCAACAACCUAUCAGGUGACAUUCCCUAUCUAAGGCACUCUGCUGAUUGCGGUUUCUUUGUUGGCAAUCCCCUGCUGUCCCGGUGUCUGGGUCCAAAUGCAUCUGCACCACCAUCAGUAUCAACCGAUCACCAGAAAUGGACUCAAAGAUUGGGUGGCCACAUGACCAAAUCCAAGUAUCUGGUGGUGAUUAUAGCUGCGUCUGCAACUGCUCUAGUGUCUUUUGUUGUUGCAGUCCUCAUCUUCUUUGUGUGUGAGAGAAGGAAAAGAGCAAAAAUUGAAAAUUUUAAGAAGAAAAUGGUAGUAACAUUUGCUGAUGCCCCUGCUGAGAUUAAUUAUGACAGCAUUAUCCAAGCAACAAGUAACUUCAGUAUCCAGAACCUGAUUGGUACCGGUGGUUUUGGUGCUACCUACAAGGCUGAGCUGGCUCCUGGUUAUCUUGUAGCAGUGAAGAGGCUAGCCAUGGGGCGUUUCCAAGGCCUCCAGCAGUUUGAUGCAGAAAUCGCAACUCUAGGAAGAAUUCGGCACAAGAAUCUCGUUACACUUAUUGGGUACCACAUUGGAGAAUCAGACACUUUCCUGAUCUACAACUAUCUCCCCGGUGGCAACCUUGAGAGCUUUAUACAUGAGAUGGGUAGCAGACAGGUUUCGUGGGCUGAGGUUUACACCAUAGCCAUGGAUGUUGCACAGGCCCUGGCUUUCCUUCAUGGCUCCUGCACACCACGAAUCAUUCAUCGAGACAUCAAACCUAGCAAUAUUCUGCUGGAUGAGGAUCUGAAUGCGUACUUGUCAGAUUUUGGUUUGGCGAGAUUAAUGGAAGUUACACAAACUCAUGCCACAACUGAUGUUGCUGGGACCUUUGGCUAUGUCGCACCUGAAUAUGCGACCACCUGCAGAGUCUCUGACAAGUCUGACGUCUACAGUUUUGGUGUUGUCCUUCUAGAGUUGAUGUCAGGCAAGAGGUCUUUGGAUCCCUCGUUCUCACAGUUUGGCGAUGGUUUUAUGAUCGUAUCAUGGGGAAGGAUGCUGAUGCAGGAAGAGCGCACCAGUGAAUUCUUCUCUCCGGGACUAUGGGAUACAUCGCCAAAGGACAGAUUGACUGAGAUGCUAAAGAUCGCUAUAUCGUGCACCUCAGAGUCACUAGCCGUUCGGCUGUCAAUGAGGCAGGUUGCAGCAAGGUUGAAGCAACUGAGGAAUGAACACUGA
rnacentral:rRNA from 1 species